CGAACUGAGGAUUGGCCGAUUGGGUUCUCUAUUUCCCUUUCUCUUCCAGCGUCCUUCUUAGUUCUUCCUUCUUCCUUCUUGGUCCAUAGUUAAUCUUUGGCUCUCAGAUUAUUUGCUUCUUCUUUUUUUCUUCUUUUGUUGUCAUUUUUCUUCAUUCUCUAUCUUUUACUUCCUCAUCUCUCCUCCAGUCGCUCUCACCCUCAAAAACCAGAUCGAAAAACAUACCAAACACCAAACAACCAAAUCUGAAUCGUACCUUCGCCAUCCAUUUCGUCAUCCUUCUCUCUUAGCCUUUCACAUCCUGCUUCAUUUCCUAUGAAACCAAUCUUGGCCCAAAUUCCGUAAUACCCAAAUCAAAAAACCUAACACCUCAGCCCCAAAUACCUCCUCCAAUCUCACUUGCUCUCUCGACUUCUUGCUUAGCAAUCAGUUGCUUGUCGCACUCGAUUUCUGUACUUGCAAUCGAAAUCUUGUGGCUCGUUAGAAAUUGAAAGGGUACAAGGCUUCGAUCAAAUUUGUAGAUUGAAGAGCUCGGGAGGACGACGUGUCGUUUCAUAGGCUGCCGAAGGGGUCAUCGACGAGGUGGAAGGGGCUUCUGGGGCGGAAGAGGACCGCGCACAUUGGGUCCAAGAAAGCUGAGAGAGGUAGUGAUGACUCUUCUAUGGAAGGAAGAAGGUCUGGCCUUGUGCAUGAGAGUUCUUCUUCACAGAUCAACUUGAAAGGGUUGGAUGGCAUCCAGGGUCCAGUUUAUGUGGGAACUGGUUGCUGUUUCAACAGGCAAGCACUAUAUGGGUAUGAUCCUGUUUUGACUGAGGAAGAUUUGGAACCAAACAUCAUAUUAAAGAGUUGUUGUGGUUCAAGAAAGAAGGGAAAGACCAGCAAUCAGAAGUAUAUUGACAAGAAGAGGGCUGUCAAAAGAACUGAAUCGACCAUUCCCAUUUUCAAUAUGGAAGACAUUGACGAGUUAAGGGUAUAUUUUCUCUUCAUUGGCAGAGCUGGUUAUGGCGCGCUCAGUUAAGAGUGAAGCAUAUGAUAUUCAAGAACUAGCCGACAUGUUGCAGAUUGGGUCCAAAUUCUAUGUAAUUGGAAUCUCAAUGGGGGCUUUACCCUGUUUGGAGUUGCUUGAAAUACAUACCGCACAUGCAUGGUACUUACUUGAAGAGCCAUGGCGCUAUUGUUUUCUUUUUUGUUUUGAAUAAUGUUUCUGACAUUUUGUAGAGAGGGACAUUUACUAAACAAAUAUAGCUUGCCCACCAAAGCAGAUCUUUUUUAACAAA